rnacentral:rRNA from 1 species
UACGUAGGGACCAAGCGUUGUCCGGAAUCAUUGGGCGUAAAGAGCGUGUAGGCGGCUUGUUAAGUCUUGCGUGAAAUCUCGGGGCUCAACCCCGAGCGGUCGUGAGAAACUGGCAGGCUAGAGUGCGGGAGAGGAGAGUGGAAUUCCUGGUGUAGCGGUGAAAUGCGCAGAUAUCAGGAAGAAACACCCGUGGCGAAGGCGCUCUCUGGAACGCAACUGACGCUGAGACGCGAAAGCGUGGGGAGCAAACAGG